rnacentral:rRNA from 1 species
CCUACGGGUGGCAGCAGUAGGGAAUCUUCCACAAUGGACGAAAGUCUGAUGGAGCAACGCCGCGUGAGUGAUGAAGGGUUUAGGCUCGUAAAGCUCCGUUGGCCGUGAAGAAAGAUAGAGGUAGUAACUGGCCUCUAUUUGACGGUAAUUACUUAGAAAGUCACGGCUAAAUACGUGCCAGCAGCCGCGGUCAUACGUAGGUGGCACGCGUUGUCCGGUUUUAUUGGGCGUAAAGCGAGGGCAGGCGGUUAAAUAAGUGUGAUGUGAAAGCCUUCGGCGCAACCGGAGAACUGCAUCAGAAACUGUUGAACUUGAGUGGGGAAGAGGAGCGCGGAAUGCCAGGUGUAGCGGUGGAAUGCGUAGAUAUAAGGAAGAACACCAGUGGCGAAGGCGGCUCUCUGGUCUGCAACUGACGCUGAUGCUCGAAAGCAUGGGUAGCGAACAGGAUUAGAUACCCUAGUAGUC